GACCCUUGGCUGAGCCUGGUGGAGUCCAUCUGAACUCUGCUGGUUCAGAUGACCCUUCUGAGCAUGGAUGGCCACCCAUAGUUCUGAGACUCAUAAAACACUGAGCCCUGUCACCUGAAGAUAUUUCCUUUCUUCCAGCUUUUGUCUGCAUCCUCAAAGACUUUCCCUUCAGAAAGAGCCUUUUUCAGAGCAGAGGUGACAUAUGUCCUCCAUGGAGUCAUUGCUGGAGCUGUGCUCAAAAGCUAAACUGACAAACCUUCCUGAGAAGUCACCUCUGCUCGAUGGCAAUUCGUUUUGAGCUUCUCAGAGGUUAUCAUGAACAUGGAAAACAUCCGACAAAUGGAUUUUUCCUGCAGAAGCAAUGAAUGCAGAUCGAAUCGCCCUUGAGUACGGCUGAGUUUUCAGAUGGCAACAGAGCACCAUGCCUGUGUUAUAUUAGUUUUGCAUAUUUAUAAGCAGGUCUUCAUCCAAUAGUUAAUACUUGAAGGAGCACCUAAGAUGGCAAUGGAUAAUGAAGCCAGCCCUUCGAAGAAGCUUUGAAUGAUAAAAUGGUCUUGGAUCAAGCUGUGGGAUAUAUUUCCCAAAGACUAUGAAAAAAUUAGCAUGAGCUCUUCACAUUUGUCAAUGUUCUGUACAUAUUUAUUUUAAUUUUUUCCUCCUUUCCUAUGUUUGUACUAUGAUCACAAAUCAUCUCUCUUUACCUUGCAUUUUUACUUUCUGUCUGGUCUCACAGUCUGUCUUCCGCUAAGUAACUGAGUCAUCUGGCUCAUCUCUACCUCAAACUUCCCUAGGUGCUGAGUACUGUUCUUUCACAAAUUAA